rnacentral:lncRNA from 1 species
CUUCCGUCACGAACGUGUCUUUAUUUUACGCUUUCUUCUUGAUAUCUAUGUUCUGUUGGGGCAUUUCAGCGAACAAUGAUUGCUUUCGAUAAGGAUUGUUGCUAUCACAGCUUCGGAAUCAUGCGGGAGAAACGAAAAGCAAAAAAAAUUUUGGCACAGAUCAGACUUGCACAACAAAAUAAAGCGAUAAAAAAGAAGGAAGACUGCAAGAAGCGGUGCAGGGCAAUAAACGGAACGGCACCGCUCUCUCCUUUCAGUUUUCACAUUUCGCCACAGCGCCGCGCCACAUGUGCGGUACGAGGCUAUUCGCCAUGCGCUCGCGUGUUCCCUUUCAUAAAAAUGACGGCUGUACAUGACGGUUCAUUUUU